UGGGGAAUUUUCCGCAAUGGGGGCAACCCUGACGGAGCAACGCCGCGUGGGGGAGGAAUGUCUGUGGAUUGUAAACCUCUUUUCUCUAGGAAGAAGCUCUGACGGUACUAGAGGAAUCAGCAUCGGCUAACUCCGUGCCAGCAGCCGCGGUAAGACGGAGGAUGCAAGCGUUAUCCGGAAUUAUUGGGCGUAAAGCGUCCGUAGGCGGUUAUUCAAGUCUGCUGUCAAAGAUCACAGCUCAACUGUGGGCGGGCGGUGGAAACUGGGUAACUAGAGUUCGGUAGGGGUAGAGGGAAUUCCCAGUGUAGCGGUGAAAUGCGUAGAUAUUGGGAAGAACACCAGUGGCGAAGGCGCUCUACUGGGCCGAGACUGACGCUGAUGGACGAAAGCUAGGGGAGCGAAAGGGAUUAGAUACCCCCGUAGUCC
rnacentral:rRNA from 1 species